rnacentral:rRNA from 1 species
CCUACGGGAGGCAGCAGUGGGGAAUAUUGGGCAAUGGGCGCAAGCCUGACCCAGCAACGCCGCGUGAAGGAAGAAGGCUUUCGGGUUGUAAACUUCUUUUAAGAGGGAAGAGCAGAAGACGGUACCUCUUGAAUAAGCCACGGCUAACUACGUGCCAGCAGCCGCGGUAAGACGUAGGUAGCAAGCGUUGUGCGGAUUUACUGGGUGUAAAGUGCGUGUAGGCGGGCUGACAAGUCAGAUGUGAAAGCCCGGGGCUCAACCACGGAACUGCAUUUGAAACUGUCGGUCUUGAGUAUCGGAGAGGCAAGCGGAAUUCCUAGUGUAGCGGUGAAAUGCGUAGAUAUUAGGAGGAACACCAGUGGCGAAGGCGGACUGCUGGACGACAACUGACGGUGAGGCGCGAAAGCGUGGGGAGCAAACAGGAUUAGAUACCCGUGUAGUC